GUUUUAGAGAGAAGGGGACGUCUGCAUUCAUCCCAGGCAGACUAAAAUGCCACACAAAGCACGCCUCACCUGGUCCGACUCCUUUUGCACCAGGAAUAAGCUGCAGGUCUUCAUCACCCAAGAGGCAGGGCCCAGCUUGGACGAGUCACCAGUUCAUCACAGGACACAUGGAGACAAACAACCAUUCACAUUCACACCUACAGGCAAUUUUUCAGUCACCAAUUAACCUAUUAAAUGAAUGUCUUUGGACUGUGAGAGGAAGCCGGAGAGAGCCCACGCAGACUCGGGGAUAACGUGCAAACUCCACACACAAAUGCAGAGGUUUGACCCAGUGCUAGAAUUAUUUACCUAUGUGUACACAACUUGAAAUUCAACCUUGAAUCCAGGUUUAAUACCAAAACAAACCACGUUUGUUUUUUAAGGUUUUAUUACAGUUUUCAGAACAUUGCAUAAAAACAGCAUUACAAAGGAGUAUCAGGAGACAUAUUUCAAAAGAUAACUGGAAAAAGAGGUAGCAUUUGACAUACUGUGUAGUCUAACUAUAAAUGAAGACAUUACAGUACAGAGAUGAUAUGAUUUUCAUGUGAUGGGUAAUACAGUAAAAAAAAA